GACUUAUUUGUGGCCACCAGGCGGCGCCAGUGCGAGGUGUGGCGCUAAUUGGAGACAGGUGGGCGCGAUGACGCGCGCAGGUGCACUAAUGGCCACCAGCAGCAAAACGGCGAGCGACUCAACUGCGGUUUCUCACGCGAGCGAGCCAAUGUUUGCUGUUUGGACGUGUUUGUAACGGUGGCAAUGUGCUUGUUGCAGGCUUUUGACUGGCAGAGGAGGAGGAGCAGUAGCAGCAGCAGCGUACAAGGAAAGGUUUUUUUGCAUGGGUUUGCUUGAGCACUGCACGUUCACACUUCACUUUGGGCUUCGCACAUUGUCUGUUACAUUUUUUUUUCUUUAUCGUACUUUGUCUUACAAAGGUUGCUGUUGUUAAACAUCUAAAACAGAAGAAAAGGGGGUGGGGGAGGAGGAAACAAGUACAAUAAAAAGCGCGUACAGUGCAAGAAAUAUUGAAAAAUGGAAAUACUCUAAAAAGCGUGAGGGGGGGGGAAAGCUUUUAACCUAAUGAUGCAUUAGUGCUUUUGCAGGUUGGAAGAGGAGCUUAGUGGCUUGGUUGACUGCAGCUAGUUGCAAUGGCAGCCAUGGGAAGUGUUCUUAGUGCAGAUGUCGCUGCAGUCAAGUGUUGCCGGGAGACUUGAGAUGGUCUGGACUUGUUUGGUUUGUUGUAGUUAAGGACGGCACGUUGACAAGCUGGAGUGCGCAGUGCAGGGUUUUGAGGGAGGACUCCAUAGUAGUUUUUUUUUUCCCCCCUCCCCCUCGCCGCCUCUUCCUUAGGGUGGAGAUGGUGGAUCGGGUGAGCCGCAUCAAGAUGAACUGGACCAGACAGACAAAUCAAUAAAUGACCAGCACACACUGUGGAUGAGUUUGGAUGGCACAAAAACCCAGCGGGUCGUGGUGCGGGAUGGGAUGAGAGACACUGGACGAGGGGUAAUGAGUACAGACGCGUGCGCACAGGUGAGACCAGCAGACAAGUAAUUGUAUUGUAUGCGUUUUUGCACAUGAGCGAGAUCACGGUUGGGCAAAGGGAACAAACGCACGCAAGUGACUGGCAACUAGAGCAGGCUGGUAAUAAGGUAAAAUGUGCAAAAAAAAAGUAAAAUAAAGGCGACCUGCUCCAGAGAAAUGGUGUUAAUGUGCUUGUUCUGUAGAGUGGAAGAGGAGCUGGAUGAAAGAGAAGGUAAUGAAACACACUAAAUAAAAUGUAAAAAAAGAAAGUGGCAUCGUUUUUUUAAAAUUUUCUCUUUUACAGAGCUCAGAAGGACCUGGAACGGGAUGAGGAAAAGGAACAAUUCCAUACAUCAAAUGAAGACUCUGGGCACAAGUUGUCUUUGCAUAUAUUGUCUGCGGGUGCAUGUAAACGGUGAACAGGAGGGGACGGAGUACUGAGCUUUGCGGUUCGCCUCGUUUGACUGUGGCUACGGAAGGGUAGCGUGGUGGUAGGUCGGAUUGUAAUGAUGGCAGGCAUGGAAAGUGUCGGUAGAGUUGACAGUUGGACGUGGUGGUUCGGUUCAGUGGUUGUUGCGAAGGAAGGAAGGAAGGUCGAGAUGGUCCGCAGGUUGUUUGGCUCGUCUUGUUCCCGACCAGCUCUUGGUUUUGAGUCGACGUGUACAGCGCAGGCUUGGAAUGAGGAAUUUCUCAUAUUGAUCAACACAAAAUUGAAUACUUGUGUUUUCUUCAGGCUGAAGACCAACAAUUGUCCACAACCGGCAUGCCGUUCCAAGAUGAACAGCUUCUUCUCCCUUGAGACAACAAUCCAGACUGAAAGUAGAAAUGCUGUGCCGCUUCAAGAGCCAAGCAGCAACGAUACAGGGGGAGUAUAUCUUGGUUACUUUGUGUCUGUGUCUACUUCCUGACUAACUCACUGGGUGUGCAUGGACUAACACUCAUUUGUGAUGUUUGUUUUUGUGUACCGAGAUGUGCGUCGAGCUAAGGCAGCAAUGCUGUUAAGGCGAAACGUUGAUCAGUGAAAUGUACUUUUGAAAAAUGUGCGUUUUCUUUUCUUUGGGAGGGAAUGGUAAAAGUGGUUUCAAGUGUGCUUUUACUGCUUGAAUUCACUUUGUAUCAAUGUUAAAGUGGGACAAUAUGUCCAAACAUACACAAUGGAGUAAGACUUCAAUUCAGCGGAAGGUACCUUUUCAAAGGUUUUGUAAGCUGUGUUUUGUCACGCGAGUCAGCAAAUGUUUGUAACAGCGGCUAUGUGCUCGUUGCAGGCUUUUGACUGGCAGAGGAGCAGCACCGGCGGCGUGCAAGGAAAGGUUUGCGCAUGGGUCUGCUUGAGCACUGCAUGUUCACACUUCACUUUGGCACACACAUUGUCUCUUUUUCCAUGUUUGUUUUUGUAUGCUGGCCAGCUCCUUUGUGUAGUUUGUUAAAUUGCGGUUUGCCUUGGUUGACUGUCGCUACGGAAGGUCUGAUUUGUAACGAGGGCAGGUAAGGAAAGUGUCGGUGGAGUUGAGGGUGGGAUAGUUGGGCUCAGUGGUCUUUGCGAAGGAAGGUUGGAGGUUGUCUGUAGGUUUCUGAGGGAAGGACUCCAUUGUAUUGAUCAACACAAUUGAAAUGUUUUAAAUUUUGUCUUUUCCCCUCCUUCCUCGUGGUGGAGCAGGUGAGAGGCACCAAGAUGAACUGGACCGGGCUAAUAAGUACAUUCACAGACAAAUCAAUAAAAGGACCAGCACACAAGUAAUUGCUUAUUUUGUUUUCGCUGUUUUCCACAACGGAUGAGUUUGGAUGGCAGAAAAACCCAGCGGUUCGCGGUGCAGGAUGGGACGAGAGGCGUCAAGAGCCACUGGACGAGCGUUGCAGGAGGAGUAGACAUUUGGGGCAGGAGGCAACAAGGAGAACCAGAGCGGGGGAAGAAGUACCAAGGUCUCAAGAAAUAUUUGCUUCAGAGGAACGGGCUCGGAUGUAGCUGGAUGGGAUGAGGAAAAGGAACAAUUCCACACAUCAAGAAUAAAGUGGCACACAGAUGAGUUUUCUGUUCCUAAUUUAUCUGCAGGGUGGAUGUAAAGAGUAAACCGGAGGGGGCAGAGUACGUAGCUUUGCGGUUUGCUUUGUUUGGCCGUAGCGACGGAAGGUAGUUUGGCGUUCGCGUGGGCGGGCGUAGAAAGUGUCGGGAGAGCUGAUGGAUGGAUAUGUCGGUGCGGUUAAGUGGUUUCUUGCGAAGGAGGUUUGGAGACGGUCUGUAGCGUGCAGUACAGGGUUUGAGGGAGGAGUCCAUAUUGAGCAAUAAACACAAAUGGACUCACCUGGGGUAAUUUAUGUAUUUAUUUUUGUCGCCUAGUGUUUUGUUUUUGUUGCAGUGAAGUGGGAUGAGCAGAGAGACGCCGAGAACCACUGGGAAUGACUGCCAUCUUGAAUAUCUUUAGGAAAAUCUACAGCUGGUGGAGUAGACAUUUGGGACAGGAGGCAACAAGGAGAACCAGGGACGAAGUACCAAGGUCCCAAAAAAGACUUGCUCAAGAAUAACGGUGUGCUUGUUUUGUGGAGUGGAAGAGUUGUUCUGAAAAAGGCAAAGGCUGGCCAAAGGGCAGCAGUGAAGUGGGAUGAGCUGAGAGGCGCCAAGAACCACUGGGAAUGAUUGGCAGCUUCAACAUCUUGAGGAAAAUCGACAGCUGGUGGAGGAGACAUUUGGGACAGGAGGCAACAAGGAGAAGCAGUACCAAGGUCCCAAGAAAGAUUUGCUUCAGAGGAACGGUGUGCUUGUUUUGUGGAGUGGAGGAAGAGUGCUGAAAAAAGGAAAGGCUGGCCAAAGGGCAGCGGUGAAGUGGGAUGAGUUGAGAGGCACAAAGAACCACUGGGAAUGACUGGCAGCUUCAACAUCUUGAGGAAAAUCGACAGCUGGAGGAGACACUUGGGACAGGAAGCACCAAGGUCCCAAGAAAGACUUGCUUCAGAGGAACGGUGUGCUUGUUUUGUGGAGUGGAAGAGUUCUGAAAAAAGGAAAGGCUGGCCAAAGGGCAGCAGUGAAGUGGGAUGAGUUGAGAGGCACAAAGAACCACUGGGAAUGACUGGCAGCUUCAGCAUCUUGAGGAAAAUCGACAGCUGGAGGAGACAUUUGGGACAGGAAGCACCGAGGAGAAGCAGAGCGGGGGAAGAAGUACCAAGGUCCCAAAAAAGACUUGCUUCAGAGGAAUUCUGCCCAAGAAUAAAGCGGCACACAGAUGAGUUUUCUGUUCCUAAUUUAUCUGCAGGGUGGAUGUAAAGAGUAAACGGAAGGGGGCAGAGUACGGAGCUUUGCGGUUUGCUUCGGUUGACCGUAGCGAUGGAAGGUAGUUUGGCGUUUGCGAGGGCAGGCGUCGUAAGUGUCGGUGGAGCUGAUGGAUUCGUCGGUGCGGUUAAGUGGUCUCUUGCGAAGGAGGUUUUGAGACAGUCUGUAGCGUGCAGUACAGCGUUUGAGGGAGGAGUCCAUAUUGAGCAAUAAACACAAACGUAUUAACCUGGGGUCUUUUUUUGUAUGCUGGCCAGCUCCUUUGUGUAGUUUUGUUAAAUUGCAGUUUGCCUUGUUUGACUGUCGCUACGGAAGGGUAGUUUGGUGGCAGGUCCGGUUGGAAUGAGGGCAGGCAUGGAAAGUGUCGGUUGAGCUGAUGGUUGGACGUGGCGGUUUGGUUCAGUGGUCUUUGCGAAGGAAGGAAGGUUGAGAUGGUCCGCAGGUCGUUUGGCCCGUCUCGGUCCAGAGUCGCGAACAGUGCAGCCCUUCGAAUGAGGAAUUCAUAUCGCCACAACAGCAAUCCAGAACAAAGGUGGAAAUGCUGUGCAGCUUCAAGAGACGAGCACCGACUUUACGGGGAGAGUAUAUCUUAGUUACUCUUAGUGUUUGUGUCCACUUGCUCACUAACUCACUGGGUGUGCACGGACUAACUGAUUGAAUUAUUUGUGUGUCAUGAGAUGUGCAUUGUGUCCAGGCAACAAUGCUGAAACAUAGUAAUCAUUAAAAUGUACUUUAGAAAAAUGUUUUUGUUUGUAUUUAGGAGGGAAUGGUGAAAGUAGUUCUCAACGUGGUUUGACGAAUUGAAUUCAAAUGAUAAAAAUGUUAGGAAGUGGGAGUAUAUGUACAAACAUCCACAAUGUAGAGUAAUAUUUAAAUACAGUGCAAGGCAGCCCCCCCCCCACCCCCAUUUAGUAUUGACAUAAGUGCAGUAUUUUUUUUUGUCCCCCCCUUGUUGCAUGGUGGAGAAGCAAGUAGGGAUAAUAAUAAGGGAAGGUUGACUAAAGGUAACAAAAUAGAGCAAUUAAGUGGCACAACCAUUGAUUAAUUUUUUUCUUUCAUUGUUGCAGGGAAGAGCCAGAUGGGACAAGGACAAGAGACAAUCCAUCAAAUGAAGUAUCACGCACGAGUUGUCUGCACAAUCUGUCUGAGGAGCAUGGCAGCACUCCGGUUUCCUCCUCCAUCCCAAAAAUGUGUUAAUUGGAGACUCUAAAUUGCCCGUAUGCAUGACUAUGAGUGCGAAUGGUCGUUUGUUUGUAUGUGCCCUGCGAUUGGCUGGCAACCAGUUCGGGGUGUACCCCGCCUCCUGCCCGAUGACAGCUGGGAUAGGCUCCACCACGCCCGCGACCCUAGUGAGGAGAAGCGGCUCAGAAAAUGGAUGACAGCAGUGAAGUGGGAUGAGUUGAGAGGCACGAAUCACUGGGAAUGACUGGCAACUUCAACAUCUUGGAAAUGUACACAGGGUGGAAGGUACACCGGAUGGGACGAAACGCAGAGCAAGGGUAACCAACAAAGUAGACACGCCAGUCAAUAUUGAACAAACUUGAAUUUGUUUGAAACAAGAAUCAGGUUGGAACAUGCAGCAGGCUACUGUAGUUCCUUUGUCAUUGCAGGCUGGUGGAGGAGACAUUUGGGACAGGAGGCAACAAGGAGAAGCAGAGCGGGGGAAGAAGUACCAAGGUCUCAAGAAAGACUUGCUUCAGAGGAAUGGGCUCAGACGUCGCCGGAUGGGAUGAGGAAAAGGAACAAUUGUACACAAGAAUAAAGCGCCACGCAGAUAAGUUGUUUUUUCAUAAUCUAUCUGCAGGGUGGAUGUAAAGAGAAAACAGGAGGGGGCAGAGUGCGGAGAUUUGCGGUUUGCUUUGGUUGACCGUAGCGAUGGAAGGUAGUUUGGCGUUUGCGAGGGCGGGCGUAGAAAGUGUCGGUGCGGUUAAGUGGUCUCUUGCGAAGGAGGUUUUGAGAUGGUCUGUAGUGCGCAGGACAGGGUUUGAGGUAGGAGUCCAUAUUGAGCAAUAAACACAAAUGUACUAACCUGGGGUCUUUUUUUGUAUGCUGGCCAGCUCCUUUGUGUAGUUUUGUUAAAUUGCAGUUUGCCUUGUUUGACUGUCGCUACGGAAGGGUAGUUUGGUGGCAGGUCCGGUUGGAAUGAGGGCAGGCAUGGAAAGUGUCGGUUGAGCUGAUGGUUGGACGUGGCGGUUUGGUUCAGUGGUCUUUGCGAAGGAAGGAAGGUUGAGAUGGUCCGCCUCGGUCCAGAGUCGCUUUGUUUUGUGGAGCCCUUCGAAUGAGGAAUUCAUAUCAAUCAAUACAAUUCUUCAGGAUGACUACGCCACAACAGCAAUCCAGAACAAAGGUGGAAAUGCUGUGGAGCUUUAAGAGCCAAGCACCAACUUUACGGGGAGAGUAUAUCAUAGUUACUCUUAGUUUGUGUCCACUUCCUCACUAACUCACUUGGUGUGCACGGACUAACUGAAUUUCUAUAUUUUUUGUGUUAUGAGAUGUGCAUCAUGUCAAGGCAACAAUGCUGACACAUAGUAAUCAAUAAAAUGUACUUUUGAAAAAUGUUUUUGUUUGUAUUUUGGAGGGAAUGGUGAAAGUUCUAAAUGUGGUUUGACGAAUUGAAUUCAAAUGAUAAAAAUGUUAGGAAGUGGGAAUAUAUGUACAAACAUCCACAAUGUAGAGUAAGAUUGAAAUCCAGUGCAAGGCAGCCCCCCCCAUUUAGCACUGACAUAAGUGCAGUAUUUUUUUUGUCCCCCCUUAUUGCAUGGUGGAGAAGCAAGUAGGGAUAAUAAGGGAAGGUUGACUAAAGGUAACAAAAUAGAGCAGUUAAGUGGCAGAACAAUAUUUAAAAAAAAUUUUUGUUUGUUGCAGGGAAGAGCCAGAUGGGACAAGGACAUGAGACAAUCCAUCAAAUGAAGUAUCAUGCACGAGUUGUGUGCAUUAUCUGUCUGAGGAGCAUGUAAAUGUUGAACAGGAAGGGGCAGAGCAGUGAGAUUUGUGGCACACCUUGGUUGACGAUACCUAUGGGUGAUUGUCAUAGUAAAAAGGUGUUUUUAAUGAGGGCAGGUGUGGAGAGUGUUCAUUGGGUUGAUGGUUGGACACGGUCGUGGUGUUGGCAGGAUAUUGCUUAAUACGGGCCGGUAUUUGUUUGACUUUCCUGCAGCCAGGACAGUUUGUUGUUUUGAGGCAGGAGUAUAUUGAGCAAUAAACACAAAUGUCCUCAUCUGGGUUAUUUAUUUUUUUUGUCAUUGUUGUACAGUUUUGUCGCAGGGCAGCAGUGAAGUGGGAUGAGUUGAGAGGCUCAAAGAACCACUGGGAAUGACUGGCAGCUUCAACAUCUUGAGGAAAAUGUACAGCUGGAGGAGACCUUUGGGACAGGAAGUACCAAGGUCCCAAAAAAGACUUGCUUCAGAGGAAUGGUGUGUUUGUUUUGUGGAGUGGAGGAAGAGUGCUGAAAAAAGGAAAGGCUGGCCAAAGGGCAGCAGUCAAGUGGGAUGAGUUGAGAGGCACAAAGAACCACUGGGAAUGACUGGCAGCUUCAACAUCUUGAGGAAAAUGUACAGCUGGAGGAGACCUUUGGGACAGGAAGCACCAAGGAGAAGCAGAGCGGGGGAAGAAGUACCAAGGUCUCAAAAAAGACUUGCUUCAGAGCAAAGGGCUCAGACGUCGCCGGAUAGGAUGAGGAAAAGGAACAAUUCUACACAAGAAUAAAGUGGCACGCAGAUAAGUUGUUUGUUUAUAAUCUAUCUGCAGGGUGGAUGUAAAGAGUAAACGGGAGGGGGCAGAGUACAGAGCUUUGGCAGCGAUGGAAGGGAGUUUGGCGUUGGCGAGGGCAGGCAGAGCUGAUGGAUAUGUCUGUGCGGUUAAGUGGUCUCUUGGGAUGGAGGUUUUGAGACAGUCUGUAGCGUACAGGGUUUGAGGUAGGAGUCCAUAUUGAGCAAUAAACACAAAUGUACUAACCUGGGGUAUUUUUUUAGUAUGCUGGCCAGCUCCUUUGUGUAGUUUUGUUAAAUUGCAGUUUGCCUUGUUUGACUGUCGCUACGGAAGGGUAGUUUGGUGGCAGGUCCGGUUGGAAUGAGGGCAGGCAUGGAAAGUGUCGGUUGAGCUGAUGGUUUGGUUCAGUGGUCUUUGCGAAGGAAGGAAGGUUGAGAUGGUCCGCCUCGGUCCAGAGUGGCUUUGUUUUGAGUUGCGAACAGUGCAGCCCUUCGAAUGAGGAAUUCAUAUCGAUCAACACGAUGCUUCAGGAUGACUACGUCACAACAGCAAUCCAGAACAAAGAUGGAAAUGCUGUGCAGCUUCAAGAGCAAAGCACCAACUUUACGGGGAGAGUAUAUCUUAGUUAGUCUUAGUGUUUGUGUCCACUUCCUCACUAACUCACUGGGUGUGCACGGACCAACUGAAUUGAUAUAUUUUUUGUGUUAUGAGAUGUGCAUCAUGUCCAGGCAACAAUGCUGAAACAUAGUAAUGAAUAAAAUGUACUUUUGAAAAAUGUUUUUGUGUUUGUAUUUUGGAGGGAAUGGUGAAAGUUGUUCUAAACGUGGUUUGACGAAUAGAAUUCAAAUGAUAAUGUUAGGAAGUGGGACUAUAUGUGCAAACAUCCGCAAUGUAGAGUAAGAUUUAAAUGUAGUGCAAGGCAUUUUCAAGAAUCCGGUUGGGACAUGCAGUAGGCUACUAUUGUUUUUGUCAUCACAGGCUGGAGGAGACCUUUGGGACAGGAAGCACCAAGGAGAAGUACUACCAAGGUCCCAAAAAAGACUUGCUUCAGAGGAACGGUGUGCUUGUUUUGUGGAGUGGAGGAAGAGUGCUGAAAAAAGGAAAGGCUGGCCAAAGGGCAGCAGUCAAGUGGGAUGAGUUGAGAGGCACAAAGAACCACUGGGAAUGACUGGCAGCUUGAACAUCUUGAGGAAAAUCUACAGCUGGAGCAGAUAUUUGGGACAGGAAGCACCAAGGUCCCAAAAAAGACUUUCUUCAGAGCAAAGGGCUCAGACGUCGCCGGCUGGGAUGAGGAAAAGGAACAAUUCUACACAAGAAUAAAGUGGCACGCAGAUAAGUUGUUUGUUCAUAAUAUAUCUGCAGGGUGGAUGUAAAGAGUAAACGGGAGGGGGCAGAGUACAGAGCCUUGGAAGGGAGUUUGGUGUAGAAAGUGUCGGUAGAGCUGAUGGAUAUGUCUGUGCGGUUAAGUGGUCUCUUGCGAUGGAGGUUUUGAGACAGUCUGUAGCGUACAGUACAGGGUUUGAGGGAGGAGUCCAUAUUGAGCAAUAAACACAAAUGUACUAACCUGGGGUCUUUUGUUUUGUAUGCUGGCCAGCUCCUUUGUGUAGUUGUUAAAUUGCAGUUUGACUGUUGCUACGGAAGGGUAGUUUGGUGGCAGGCAUGGAAAGUGUCGGUUGAGCUGAUGGUUUGGUUCAGUGGUCUUUGCGAAGGAAGGAAGGUUUAGAUGGUCCGCCUUGGUCCAGAGUGUCUUUGUUUUGAGUUGUGAACAGUGCAGCCCUUCGAAUGAGGAAUUCAUAUCGAUCAACACGAUGCUUCAGGAUGACUACGCCACAACAGCAAUCCAGAACAAAGGUGGAAAUGCUGUGGAGCUUCAAGAUCCGAGCACCAACUUUACGGGGAGAGUAUAUCUUAGUUACUCUUAGUGUUUGUGUCCACUUCCUCACUAACUCACUGGGUGUGCACGGACUAACUGAUUUAAUUUUUUUUGUGUCGAGAUGUGCAUCAUGUGCAGGCAACAAUGCUGAAACAUAGUAAUGAAUAAAAUGUACUUUUGAAAAAUGUUUUUGUUUGUAUUUUGGAGGGAAUGGUGAAAGUUGUUCUAAAUGUGGUUUGACGAAUUGAAUUCAAAUGAUAAUGUUAGGAAGUGGGACUAUAUGUGCAAACAUCUGCAAUGUAGAGUAAGAUUUAAAUGCAGUGCAAGGCAGCCCCCCCACCCCCAAUUUAGGACUGACAUAAAUGCAGUAUUUUUGUCCCCCCCUUAUUGCAUGGUGGAGAAGCAAGUAGGGAUAAUAAGGGAAGGUUGACUAAAGGUAACAAAAGAGAGCAAUUAAGUGGCACAACCAUUUAUUAAUUUUUUUUCUUUCAUUGUUGCAGGGAAGAGCCAGAUGGGACAAGGACAAGAGACAAUCCAUCAAAUGAAGUAUCACGCACGAGUUGUCUGCACUAUCUGUCUGAGGAGCAUGUAAGUGUUGAACAGGAAGGGGCAGAGUAGUGGCACACCUUGGUUGAUGGUACCUAUGGGUGGUGAUUGUCAUGGUAAAAAGGUAUUUUUACGAGGGCAGGUGUGGAGAGUGUUGAUCGGUUUUGUUGAUGGUUGGACACGGUGGUGCAGUCAAGUGGUGUUUUUGCUAGGAUCUUUGUUUAUACGGGCUGGUAUUUGUUUGACUUUCCUGCAGCCAGAACAGCUUGUUGUUUUGAGGGAGGAGCAUAUUGAGCAAUGAACACAAAUGUACUCAUCUGGGUUUUGUCAUUGUUGUACAUUUUUGUCACCGAGUGUUGAUUUGUUUUUGUUGCAGGGCAGCAGUGAAGUGGGGUGAGUUGACAGGCACAAAGAACCACUGGGAAUGACUGACAGCUUGAACAUCUUGAGGGAAAUCUACAGUAAGUCGUAAGUAAAUA